AUACAAAACUGUUCUCUUCUACUUUAAGGAAAACCCAAAAGUGACACUGUGGAUUUUCACUGUUCUAAGCUCCCCGUGACCUGUGGUGAGGCGAAAGGGAUUUUAUAUAAGAAGAAAAUGAAACACGGAUCCUCAGUGAAGUGCAUUCGGAAUGAGGAUGGAACUUGGUUAACACCAAAUGAAUUUGAAGUCGAAGGAAAAGGAAGAAAUGCAAAGAACUGGAAACGGAAUAUACGUUGUGAAGGAACGACCCUAGGAGAGCUGCUGAAGAGUGGACUUUUGCUCUGUCCUCCAAGAAUAAAUCUCAAGAGAGAGUUAAAUAGCAAGUGAAUUUCUACUACCCUCUCAGUCACCAUGUUGCAGACUUUCCCUGUCUGGAGGCUCACCUUAGAGCUUCUGAGUUUCCAAGCUCUGAGUCACCUCCACAUUUGGGCAUGGCAUCUUCAAAACAAUUAAUUUGCAUAGUUAAUUUGGGAUGGGGAAGCAAAUGACUCUAAAAUAAAAAUUAAA
rnacentral:lncRNA from 1 species